AACGAACGCUGGCGGCAGGCUUAACACAUGCAAGUCGAGCGCCCCGCAAGGGGAGCGGCAGACGGGUGAGUAACACGUGGGAAUCUACCCAUCCCUACGGAACAACUCCGGGAAACUGGAGCUAAUACCGUAUACGCCCUUCGGGGGAAAGAUUUAUCGGGGAUGGAUGAGCCCGCGUCGGAUUAGCUAGUUGGUGGGGUAAUGGCCUACCAAGGCGACGAUCCGUAGCUGGUCUGAGAGGAUGAUCAGCCACACUGGGACUGAGACACGGCCCAGACUCCUACGGGAGGCAGCAGUGGGGAAUAUUGGACAAUGGGCGCAAGCCUGAUCCAGCCAUGCCGCGUGAGUGAUGAAGGCCCUAGGGUUGUAAAGCUCUUUCACCGAUGAAGAUAAUGACGGUAGUCGGAGAAGAAGCCCCGGCUAACUUCGUGCCAGCAGCCGCGGUAAAAC
rnacentral:rRNA from 1 species